GACGAACGCUGGCGGCGUGCUUAACACAUGCAAGUCGAACGGAAAGGCACUGCUUUUGUGGGGUGCUCGAGUGGCGAACGGGUGAGUAACACGUGAGUAACCUGCCCUUGACUUUGGGAUAACUUCAGGAAACUGGGGCUAAUAUCGGAUAGGAGCUCCUGCUGCAUGGAGGGGGUUGGAAAGUUUCGGCGGGUGGGGAUGGACUCGCGGCUUAUCAGCUUGUUGGUGGGGUAGUGGCUUACCAAGGCUUUGACGGGUAGCCGGCCUGAGAGGGUGACCGGCCACAUUGGGACUGAGAUACGGCCCAGACUGCUACGGGAGGCAGCAGUGGGGAAUAUUGCACAAUGGGCGGAAGCCUGAUGCAGCAACGCCGCGUGCGGGAAGACGGCCUUCGGGUUGUAAACCGCUUUCGCCUGUGACGAAGCGUGAGUGACGGUAAUGGGUAAAGAAGCACCGGCUAACUACGUG
rnacentral:rRNA from 1 species